CAGCAGCCGCGGGAAUACGAAGGGGGCUAGCGUUGCUCGGAAUCACUGGGCGUAAAGGGCGCGUAGGCGGACUUUUAAGUCGGGGGUGAAAGCCCAGGGCUCAACCCUGGAAUUGCCUUCGAUACUGAGAGUCUUGAGUUCGGAAGAGGUUGGUGGAACUGCGAGUGUAGAGGUGAAAUUCGUAGAUAUUCGCAAGAACACCAGUGGCGAAGGCGGCCAACUGGUCCGAUACUGACGCUGAGGCGCGAAAGCGUGGGGAGCAAACAGGAUUAGAUACCCCUGUAGUCCCUGUCUCUUAUAC
rnacentral:rRNA from 1 species